UACAGAGGGUGCGAGCGUUAAUCGGAAUUACUGGGCGUAAAGCGUGCGUAGACGGCUAUCUAAGUCGGGUGUGAAAGCCCCGGGCUCAACCUGGGAAUUGCAUUCGAUACUGUGUGGCUAGAGUUCGGCAGAGGGAAGUGGAAUUUCCGGUGUAGCGGUGAAAUGCGUAGAUAUCGGAAGGAACAUCAGUGGCGAAAGCGACUUCCUGGACCAGAACUGACGAUCAGGCACGAAAGCGUGGGGAGCAAACAGG
rnacentral:rRNA from 1 species